rnacentral:rRNA from 1 species
AAUGAACGUUGGCGGCGUGGAUUAGGCAUGCAAGUCGUGCGAGAACCGUAGCAAUACGGGGACAGCGGCGAAAGGGAGAGUAACACGUGGAUACCAACCCUUGGGACUGGGAUAGCUACGGGAAACUGUAGGUAAUACCAGAUGACGUCUCCGGACCAAAGGUGUGAUUCCGCCCGAGGACGGGUCCGCGUUCUAUUAGCUAGUUGGUAGGGUAAUGGCCUACCAAGGCAAAGAUGGAUACGGGGUGUGAGAGCAUGCCCCCGCUCACUGGGACUGAGAUACUGCCCAGACACCUACGGGAGGCAG